AAGAUGGAGGUGUUGCUGUACUUCUUGCUGGUCUCUGAGCCUGUCUACCUGUUCUGUCAGUAAGAUGGAGGUGUUGCUGGUCUCUGAGCCUGUCUACCUGUUCUGUCAGUAAGAUGGAGGUGUUGCUGGUCUCUGAGCCUGUCUACCUGUUCUGUCAGUAAGAUGGAGGUGUUGCUGUACUUCUUGCUGGUCUCUGAGCCUGUCUACCUGUUCUGUCAGUAAGAUGGAGGUGUUGCUGGUCUCUGAGCCUGUCUACCUGUUCUGUCAGUAAGAUGGAGGUGUUGCUGUACUUCUUGCUGGUCUCUGAGCCUGUCUACCUGUUCUGUCAGUAAGAUGGAGGUGUUGCUGGUCUCUGAGCCUGUCUACCUGUUCUGUCAGUAAGA